UACGGAGGAGGCAAGCGUUAUCCGGAAUUAUUGGGCGUAAAGCGUCCGUAGGUGGCUCUUCAAGUCUGCUGUCAAAGACUGGGGCUUAACCCUGGAAAGGCGGUGGAAACUGAAGCGCUAGAGUGCGGUAGGGGUAGAGGGAAUUCCCGGUGUAGCGGUGAAAUGCGUAGAGAUCGGGAAGAACAUCGGUGGCGAAGGCGCUCUACUGGACCGCAACUGACACUCAGGGACGAAAGCUAGGGGAGCGAAUGGG
rnacentral:rRNA from 1 species